GAUGAAGAACGUAGCGAAAUGCGAUAAGUAAUGUGAAUUGCAGAAUUCAGUGAAUCAUCGAAUCUUUGAACGCACAUUGCGCCCCCUGGUAUUCCGGGGGGCAUGCCUGUCCGAGCGUCAUUACAACCCUCAAGCUCAGCUUGGUGUUUGGCCCCGCCGCCCCGGCGGGCCCUAAAGUCAGUGGCGGUGCCGUCCGGCUCCGAGCGUAGUAAUUCUUCUCGCUCUGGAGGUCCGGUCGUGUGCUCGCCAGCAACCCCCAAUUUUUUUCAGGUUGACCUCGGAUCAGGUAGGGAUACCCGCUGAACUUAAGCAUAUCAAUAAGCGGAGGA
rnacentral:misc_RNA from 1 species